rnacentral:lncRNA from 1 species
AUACAUUUAUAUAUAGCUUCGCUUAGAUGUUCUUUGUGAGUGGGUUUGGAACCAUAUCGAACUCAGAAGACCCUGCAACAUAUUAAAAAGCCAUAUGAAUUGACUACUACAAAAGACUACAAAUAGGUAUAUUACGUUAUCAUUUCUUUGAUAUAAUUCUAAACGUAAGCUAUAGUCUAAAUUAUAAGUACUCCAAUGUCUAUGUAUGUGGAGUAGUUUUUGCAAUGGUAAGGACAAGAGACAUGGAACAUGCUAUCAUUAUGUGGGACUUUGAUUUUUCUUGGCUAAAAGACAGAUAAAAAGAUGGAUGCAAGCUUUUCAUAAGGAAAUAGUUUUUUUUGGUUGAAUAAAUAGGAAAUAGCUUUUUUGGUUGAAUAAAUAUAAGAGAUAAUGGCUUAUGAUCAGUUUUUCAAGAACUCGACAAAACUAACUCUUGUAUUCUCUGUUACAAGAUUGUUUUUGGCCCCACAUUUAGAAGUUGGGACAGUUCAUAGAUAUGGAAAACAGUGGUGUGUACUAUAUAGAUCAUUAAGUAAGAAGACAUCUACACAUAAAGAAACGUGUGGAGGCUGCAUGUCUAUUUAUGAAUGCUUUCUUAUGCAUAAUUGUUGUGUUUACCUUUUAGAGUUCCUUAAAUACUUUCAGUGGUUGUUUCCAUUUGAAUAGUAAUUGGGAUGUGGAUAACGCCCUGACUCAAUGUCAUUGACAUCCCUAAUGAGGAGCUCAUAGUGUCGCCUUACUUCUUCGGCUGACUUGCCACCAACUGCUCUGGCGACGUUAUGCCAACGGUCAGGAGUGUCCUGGUCAUAUAUU